rnacentral:rRNA from 1 species
AUUGAACGCUGGCGGCAUGCCUUACACAUGCAAGUCGAACGGCAGCACAGGAGCAAUCCUGGUGGCGAGUGGCGAACGGGUGAGUAAUACAUCGGAACGUGCCCAAUCGCGGGGGAUAACGUAGCGAAAGCUACGCUAAUACCGCAUACGAUCUACGGAUGAAAGCGGGGGAUCGCAAGACCUCGCGCGAAUGGAGCGGCCGAUGGCAGAUUAGGUAGUUGGUGAGGUAAAGGCUCACCAAGCCUGCGAUCUGUAGCUGGUCUGAGAGGACGACCAGCCAGACUGGGACUGAGACACGGCCCAGACUCCUACGGGAGGCAGCAGUGGGGAAUUUUGGACAAUGGGCGCAAGCCUGAUCCAGCAAUGCCGCGUGCAGGAUGAAGGCCUUCGGGUUGUAAACUGCUUUUGUACGGAACGAAACGGUCCUUUCUAAUACAAGGGGCUAAUGACGGUACCGUAAGAAUAAGCACCGGCUAACUACGUGCCAGCAGCCGCUGUAA